UCUAAUAUGGCAGAUUAGUGCAAUGAAUUUAAGCUUCAUAUAUAAAGAUUUUUAUCUUUUAUUAGAA
rnacentral:tRNA from 2 species